ensembl:lncRNA
AUGAGGAGGGACCAAACUGAAGAAUAUCACAGCCCUAAAACAGGAUCAGACAGUUGCUACAGGCUCAGCGAUUGGCAACAGCUGGUGAAUAGGGCCAUGACCACCUUCAUCACGGAAACAGCCAUGCAUAACCCUGAUCUAGAAGCUGGCUGGGAUCCUGACAAAGUCAUGCCACACAGAUCUGUCUGAUUCUAUAGACAUUUAUUUAUACCCUGACAACACUGGGCUGCUGAGGACUUUAUAAGAUCCUGUCUGGCUCAUGUUCCAACCCCCUGACCUCAGCAUUAGAUGAGAGGAUGCUGACUGGGACGCCCUUUGACUUUGACAGCCGAGGAUGUGACACCCAUAUGUGUGCAUGGAAUAAUGCUGACCUACUGGAUUUUUUACACACCAGAGCAGGCAUAUGUACUAUUUUGGGGUAAGUUGUCUAUUUAUAAUUGAGUCUUAAGAGACAUGUUGUCAUCAGCUGCAUAAGAGAUUCACUAUAGGACAAAACAUCAACAAACAGUUCACCCAACAAUGAAAAUUUGCUGAAAAUGUACUCUACCUCAGGCCAUUCAAUAUGUAGAUGAGUUUGUUUCUUCAUAUGAAGAGAUUUGGAGAAAUUUAGCAUUACAUCACUUGCUCACUGGUGUAUCCUCUGCAGUGAAUGGGUGCCGUCAGAAUGAGCCAAACAGCUGAUAAAAACAUCACAAUAAUCCACAAGUAAUCUACACAACUCCAGUCAAUCAGUGAACAUCUUGUGAGGCAAAACGCUGCAUGUUUAUAAAAACAAAUCCAUCAAGAUGUUUAUAAGAUACAAGUUCUCCAUAAAUAUUGAUUUCUCCAGUGCAAAAGUAAUCUUGUCUCAAUCAGGAGAGAAAUAUACAUUGAUCAUGCAUCGUUUAGAAGCCAAAACA